UCCUCCUCGUAAAGCCUCUGACGCUCUUCCUCUUCCGUUGUACCUAACAAACACUUUCUUCCUCGCCCUCUUCUUCGCUACGGUUUAUUUCCUUCUCAGCCGAUGGCGUGAGAAGAUCCGUAACUCUACGCCUCUUCACGUCGUUGACCUCUCUGAGAUCUGUGCUCUCAUUGGUUUCGUUGCUUCGUUUAUUUACCUCCUUGGUUUCUGCGGUAUCGAUCUCAUUUCCCGAUCUUCUUCCGAUGAUGAUGUUUGGGUUAACGAUGAAGAUUUGCGGAGGACGGUUCCAUGUGAUCAGUCCCUAGAUUGUUCUGUUAAACCUAGUUCUAUUGAUCAUUCCCCUGUUUCUGGUCUUGAGUCAGUAGAAGAUGAAGAGAUUGUUAAAUCGGUGAUUGAAGGAACCAUCCCAUCUUACUCAUUAGAGACGAAGUUUGGAGAUUGUAAACGAGCAGCAGCGAUUAGAAGAGAAGCGGUUCAGAGGAUAACUGGUAAAUCCUUAACCGGUCUUCCAUUGGAAGGUUUCGAUUACGAUUCGAUUUUGGGGCAAUGCUGUGAGAUGCCAGUUGGGUAUGUUCAGAUCCCUGUGGGGAUUGCUGGACCUUUGUUGCUUGAUGGGGUUGAGUAUUCAGUGCCAAUGGCUACAACAGAAGGUUGUUUGGUUGCUAGUACCAAUAGAGGUUGUAAAGCUAUUAACUUGUCUGGAGGUGCUUCUAGUGUUCUCUUGAAAGAUGCAAUGACUAGAGCUCCAGUUGUUAGAUUCCCUUCUGCAAGAAGAGCUGCUCUUGUCAUGUUUUAUCUGCAAGAUCCUGCUAAUUUUGAGAGAUUGUCUCUCAUGUUCAACAAGUGAGUUUGAGAAACUUUGUACCUUCUACUUGAUGCUAGGAUGGUGAUUUGAUUUUGUUUUUUUUUUGUUAUUGUGUAUAUGUAUAGAUCCAGUAGAUUUGCUAGGCUUCAGAGUAUUAAGUGCACGAUUGCUGGGAGGAAUCUCUAUCCGAGGUUUUCGUGUAGUACUGGUGAUGCUAUGGGGAUGAACAUGGUCUCUAAAGGUGUUCAGAAUGUCUUAGAUUUCAUAAAGAGCGAGUUUCCUGACAUGGAUGUUAUUGGCAUCUCAGGUAAAUUCUUCUUUCGAUCUUCAUUAUUGUCUUGAUUUUCGAAUCAAAGUCUAGCUCUUUUUUAUAUUAAUUGGUGUUAUGGUGUUCAGGGAAUUACUGUUCGGACAAGAAGGCUUCGGCUGUAAACUGGAUCGAAGGACGCGGUAAGCAUGUUGUAUGUGAAGCCGUGAUUAAGCGUGAGAUUGUGGAGAAAGUGUUGAAGACUAGUGUUGCGGCUCUUGUAGAGCUUAACAUGCUCAAGAACCUUGCUGGUUCAGCCAUGGCGGGUUCUCUUGGUGGGUUCAAUGCUCAUGCAAGCAAUAUUGUCAGCGCUGUGUUCAUCGCCACUGGCCAAGACCCAGCUCAAAACGUUGAGAGCUCACACUGUAUCACCAUGAUUGAAGCUGAUGGCAACGACCUUCACAUCUCUGUCAAAAUGCCUUGCAUUGAGGUAUAAUGCAUGUUCAAUCUGAAACUAAACCCAUUUAUUGCAGAGAAGAGAACACAAAGCCCUUAGUAUUUUUGAAUAUUGUUGUAUCCAACUCAUAAACUUUUUCUAAUGAUAUGUGGCUCCAGGUUGGUACUGUUGGAGGUGGGACACAACUUGCAUCACAAUCAGCUUGUUUGAAUCUGCUCGGUGUGAAAGGAUCAAACAAGGAGGCGCCUGGCUCAAACGCACAGCAAUUGGCAAGGAUAGUGGCUGGUACAGUUCUUGCAGGAGAGCUUUCACUAAUGUCUGCUAUUGCAGCUGGACAGCUUGUGAAGAGUCACAUGAAAUACAACAGAUCCAGCAGAGACAUUGGCCCUUCGUCUCAAGUCAACAGAUGAUAUUUGGAGCACAAUGAGACAGAUGAUAAUAAAACCAAAAAAACAAACUUAGAUUGAUGUAAUUUUAACCUCAUUUGAUUUUCUUCCUCCAUCGAUCUCUUUUCUAUCUGUUUGUACUCUUUAAGUCUCCAAAUGGUCUUAAUUUAUGUAAAGUCAUUUUUUGUCCUUCCAUCUUUAUGUCUUAUAUCAUAAUUUUUGAAAGUCUCAUAGACUAGUGUAUAUAAGUCACUUUCACAAAUUACAAAUAUAAGAAAAUUGCUAUUAUUUUUCACAUUUCAAGCUUUACAAGAGUGUUUGAGGUGUAAAAAACGAUGGGAAGUGAGGUUUCCAUGGAGAGGAGAAGAGCGGCGCACUGAGAAUCAGAAGAAGUAGCCAACAGCCGAGGCUUAAGUAGUGACGAGAGCGAGAAAACAAAUCUCGAGGGGACUUGAGGAAAAAUAGAAAGCUUAUGGAAGUUUUAUACAUGGUGGGACUGGUGUUGAUGUGCUUCUGGAGGCUUGGAUCAACAAGAAAAGUCAAAAGUUCCAUUUGCUUGUAGUACCUAGUUGUUAGCUAUACUUGAUGCUUGAUGGGAUCAAUGUGAUAAGCCUUUGGGUUUCAACAUCAUCUUCUGGGCAACAUAAGAUGUUUUUGCAGUUUAUAACAUAGCAUCAAGAUGUGUGAUUAAGGCUUUAUUAACUGUCGUAUUGUUUCUAGCCAUGAAUUUUAUAACAUUGGUUUGAUCAUUGUGGUAGUGUUUGUGUUGAUUUGAUGAUAUACAUGACAAGAGUUUGGUUCUAAUAAAUCUGUGGAAACUACGUAUUAUACUGUGCAACCUCGUGCAGAUUAGUGGGCAACUGGAUUUACACUGUGGGCAAAAUGAAUCGUGUCUUUUGUGUGUAAUCGGAGAAUCACAAAAGAAAAAAAAAAAACAAAAAAUGGGAACCCUAGGAAGAGCGAUUUACACUGUGGGCAACUGGAUUCGUGGGACUGGUCAAGCUCUUGAUCGUGUUGGUUCUCUUCUUCAAGGAAGCCACCGCAUCGAAGAACAUCGUAAGCUUCUUCAGAUCCUUCCCUUGCUUACGCUCUUUUAAGCUCUAGAUCCAAUUCGUAUCUCUAAUUUGUGUCUUCACCAGAGAAAUUUGUGGGUCUCAUUGGGUUCGUUUUGAUUUUACAGUGUCGAGGCAUAGGACGUUGAUGAAUGUGUUUGAUAAAUCUCCAUUGGUGGAUAAGGAUGUAUUUGUGGCUCCGGGUGCUUCUGUUAUUGGUGAUAUUCACAUCGGGAAAGGCUCGUCGAUUUGGUAUGGGUGUGUUCUUCGAGGUGAGGAUUUGAUUUUUUUCACUAAGCCUGAAGAGGUUUUGGUUCCAUGUUAUUACUCCUGUGAGCAUAGAAAUGGAAAUAGAGAGUCUUAGUGGUGUUUGGUUCAAAUGAAGUACCAAAUUUGCAGCAUUAUACUGUGCAACCUCGUGCAAAUUAGCCAUAGGCUUAUAAGUUUAGUCUGCUGUAUGCCUCAACUGUUAGUGUUAAGGAUUGAAUCCUAUUGUCGUUGACCUCUCUGAGAUCUGUGCUCUCAUUGGUUUCGUUGCUUCGUUUAUCUACCUCCUUGGUUUCUGCGGUAUCGAUCUUCUUCCGAUGAUGAUGUUUGGGUUAA
rnacentral:lncRNA from 1 species